UACGAAGGGGGCUAGCGUUGCUCGGAAUCACUGGGCGUAAAGCGCACGUAGGCGGCUUUUUAAGUCAGGGGUGAAAUCCUGGAGCUCAACUCCAGAACUGCCUUUGAUACUGAGAAGCUUGAGUCCGGGAGAGGUGAGUGGAACGGCGAGUGUAGAGGUGAAAUUCGUAGAUAUUCGCAAGAACACCAGUGGCGAAGGCGGCUCACUGGCCCGGUACUGACGCUGAGGUGCGAAAGCGUGGGGAGCAAACAGG
rnacentral:rRNA from 1 species